CCCAUGGGCCAGCCCAUGUCUCUGUCUCUUGGUCACUGAAACUUGCAGUGCAGAGUUCUCAUCGCCUGGGCACGAGAAGGAGAGCAGUCUGCUCAGAUUAAUUCCCCAUAAGGGGCGGCUGCCUCGGAACCGUCUCCUGGCUCACAUCCGGGGAAUAAGCACUUUCUAAAUCGAAGGUGCCUCCCAGUUGCAUAUUUCAAGCUUUAAGAUAAAAUAAAAGGAGGUAGGACUGAGGCUUCGUCCCCGGUGGUCGAACUGUUGGGAGUGGCAGGUCGAGCUUCCUUUGCUUUUUUUGGGUGUUUGUAAUCGCUUUUUCAUUUCGUGUUCACUCGUACCUUUCUCAGUCUGUAACUCAGAGCUCAGCAGUGUUCUGUUGCGGUCUCAGCCCGAACACCCGAAUGCUGCUCUCAGCACAGCCCUCCAUGGAAGGAAAUGCAGGGAUUUGACUGUCGUCCACCAGAGCAGCUUAAAAAUAUAACAGUAGUGAGACUCAUAAAGUCUAAGGUCAUUGAAUCGUGUUUUUCCUUCUGUUUAUGGAACAAAGAUUUCAUUUGCUUUGAUGAGUGAGUUUCCAAAUACUCUGUCUUUGUGAAGCCAGUGGAAACGGAGUUACAAACGUUGGCGUCUGGCCGGUGACCCAGUACGUGUCCUUCUUGCCUGAGAGAAGGGCGGUGGGAGCUGGCCCCGAGCGCUGUGCUGUGGGGACGUUUUGAGAAAUGCGUGGACAAGAAGGCAACAUUUAAUUGUGUUCAGCUUAUCCUCCUGGUUGAAUAAAGCUCCUGAGACACUUGUGAGAACAGAUUCUGUGGCCUGGUUUUGUACCUUCCCGUCUUUAACUAGGCCAGGAGGAGAUACAUCUUUUUCCCUUUCCUCAGCGUCUUGGCAACGUCCCUUCCAGUUCCAGCCAAAAUCUAGAAGUACGGAGAGGAGCGGCCGAGAAGAGGGGUUUCGGGAUGUUUAAUACUACGGAGCGGGUUGGCUCGAACUUGGAAAUGAAUAGUCAGCUCGAAUCAUUUUAUCCGAGCAGUUCCAGCAGGUUUCACUGGCAGCCGUGGGGGAGGGCGACCGUGUCCUUGUCCCUUCAGGUGUCCUGAGCUCCCACGGGAGGGCAUUUCCAUGUCAGUGGAGUCCUGCAGACAGACGAACAUGGCCUUUUCAGAAACAGGUUGAAGGGGAUCUGCCGCUUCCUCCUGGGGCCCUGCAGUGGGCGAGGAGCCCGUCAUCGCCCGAGGGUCGCCGGUGGACUCGUGGCUGCCUAUCCCGUCCCAGAGCUGCAAGCCAGCCUGCCUGUCCCCUUGGCCUGCAGACACUGCUUCGUUGGGAUGAGCCACUUCGUGAGAGCCACCUGGAUGUUUCUGGGUCCGGGACAGAGGGAGCUCAUUGCUGCUGGUGACACAGUUAACAGAAAAAUCCAUCCAGGCCUGGCAAGUUUGCCCACAGAGCAGCUGUGCUCUCUGCUAAUGACGAGGUGAAGGAUGGUCUGUGCACCUGACACAUGGACACAUCCCUUCUGACACAGGAAGUACUCAGUUUUUUGUUUAUGUGAAUAAAUAAAUGAAUGGAUGAACGGCUGUCGUGCAAGUGGGACCUGGAGGUAAAGGAAAGGGAGACGCUGGCUGAGGAAGGCAGCAGGUGUUCCUGGAGCAGGAACGUGGCAGGUGGGCAGGGCCUCCUUGGUGGUGGGGACGCAAAUCCUGCACCGCUAAUCCCCCUCCUGCUCUGAACAUGACGGGGGCUGCAAACCCAGGGAAAUGAUCAGAGAGGGUACAGAUGUCAACUGGUUCCAUCCACAGAGUGGGUGGCAGCCAGUGCAGGUCUCUCUGCUGAGCAGGGUCCUGCAGUGAGCUCCCUGGCCCAAAGUCUAAAGGGGUAUCUCCCCGUGGACCCCACACCCCACACCCACUCUCAGGGUUUUACUUCCUCCAAGGGGCUGCACUUCCCAGGGGACCAGAGUGUGCCUGGCUCACUGAAAGCGUGCUGUGCGUAGGAAGAGGAAACCGGGCAGGGUCUGGAGUGCAAUGGGUGCCGGCGUGCUCCACGGAGCAGGAGGGAGAGCCACAUGGGACGUGGAGUCUCCUGCAUCCCCGGCCUCCAGACCCCACUGAGGGUGACGGUGUCAGGAGCCCUGGAGUCUGACCACAUCUGCCCUUGGCGGGGAAAGGGCCGCCCUCCUUCCCACCAGACUGGAUUUCUAACCAUGCCCCUACUUUCUUCUCUGUCCCCUGGCUCGACGCUGCUUUGUCCUAGACCUUUUGGGUCACACAGGUGGGGCUGGGCAUGUGGCCUCCCAGGUGAUUCCACGUGUCAAGGAUUGGUGACAAAAUAAAGGUACAGUGUGGACCCAGAACCAGCAUUUACAGUUCACUUGAUGAGGAAACAGUGCUCCCCACAGUGGUUAAAACGCAGGGGUCUGGUAGUGUCCUUGUCCCCGUGCUCACAGGCGAGACCCCAGCUGUUCUGCUGGGGGGCAGCUCUCCUUCCUGAGCAGCAGGGCACAGCUGCCCCGACUCCCGCCCUUGAGCCCUGCUAGCCCUCCUGCCCCAGUUCUGGAGGGCCUGAUGGAGGCCUUCAGCAUGCUAGACAGAACGAUCCUUCUUUCCUGCCUAUUCAGUUCCAACCUCACCAAAGCUCUGAACUAUCCCCUUGGCGUCCUCGUGCGGUGGUCACCGGCUCCCUUCCCUCGACGUCCACGGCGCAGGAGCGAAGGAGGCGGAGCCCCGUGGGCGCGGACCGCGGGGGCGGCGGGGACGCGGGCCUCAGCGGUGCGACCGCGAGACUGGCCUGUGGUUGGCGGAGUCGCGGAAGCUGCCGGCUCGGGAGGCUGCGCCCGGCCGCACAGGCCCCUGCGUCGGCCCGCGCUUGUCCGGAGGCUGCGCCUUCCUUCUCGCUUCUCCGACUGAAGCGCCGUCAGGGCGGGGCGGCAGCUUUGGUGCGCAGCGCGACGCCCCAGGCGUGCAGGUGCACAGGCUCGUUUUCAGGCUCUCUUUCAGGUCAGGUUGCUACAAGAUGCUGAGUGUAGCUCCGCGUGCUCCACGGAAGUUUGCUUUUGUCUGUUUUCAUACACAGUGGCCAUCACUGAGGCUGCUAAGGGCACCUUCAGAGCACAGCUUCCGCAGUAACUGGACCACGUGCCGUGCCAGGCGCAGAGCACGGCAGUCACGGCAUACCGUUAACUGAAAUCUUCUUACAUGUCUCGUGUCUUCAGUUUCAUACAACGUAUUUUACAUAAUCCUCAGAAUAAAUCUAUUAGAGUCGUUAUUUUGUGAGUAUCUAUCUGAGUACAUCUGAGAAGCGGUGUGACCUGCUCGAGGUCUCACUGCUGGGACAGAGGUCCGGUGCCUCCCUGGCCGGGCCGCACGGACCUUGCACUUCGCAGAGACACCGCUCUUGGCUUAUUAAUUAGGAAUAAAGAAUGAAAGGUUUCCAUUUGCAGCAACACGAAUAGACUUGGAAGGUAUUAUGCUUAGUGAGAUAAGUCACACAGAAAGACAAAU